rnacentral:rRNA from 1 species
GGAGGAAUAUUGGUCAAUGGGCGCAGGCCUGAACCAGCCAAGUCGCGUGAGGGAGGACGGUCCUACGGAUUGUAAACCUCUUUUGUCGGGGAGUAACGUGCGGGACGCGUCCCGUAUUGAGAGUACCCGAAGAAAAGCAUCGGCUAACUCCGUGCCAGCAGCCGCGGUAAUACGGAGGAUGCGAGCGUUAUCCGGAUUUAUUGGGUUUAAAGGGUGCGCAGGCGGCGCGCCAAGUCAGCGGUCAAAGUUCCGGGCUCAACCCGGUGUCGCCGUUGAAACUGGCGUGCUCGAGUGCGUGCGAGGAAGGCGGAAUGCGUUGUGUAGCGGUGAAAUGCAUAGAUAUGACGCAGAACUCCGAUUGC